AAAAAAUAAAGGCGAAAAAAUAAAAGACGAAGAAAUAAAAGACGAAAGAAAAGGAGUGGAAUAAUGGAACAUCUGAUGAGAGAAAUUUCGUUCUCACAUUUCUCUC
rnacentral:ribozyme from 1 species